CCGGGCGAGGAAGGCAGGACGGGGACGCCAGACCAUCCCAAGGCUGAGCGAAGACGUUGCAGGACCACACUGUUUCCCAAAUGUAAACUUGAAAACGAAAGGAACGAAACUUUUCGUAGAUUUUGUUCCUCAGAGAAGGGUGUGCUGAGGAACCCCCUCACCCAAGGACAGCGCGGGGGCAGCCCUCACCCCGCCCCGCAGAGCCAGCCUGGGCUCGGGAUUGUCUCUCAAGAAUGUAAGUGUGUCAGGAACCCUGACACUGUCAUGAAGAGCAAGAAGGAAAAACUCAGAGAAUUCAAACUCAGCUGGAAACUGCUGGAGGAGCUGCCAGACGCAAUCAAGGAAGAGGAGAAACACUGGGGCCUGAAAAAAGGGUCACUGGCUGUGUAGAAACCUCCACAGCGGAGAAGAUCACUACCCCCAGGGUGAUGCCAGGACAGGCGCUUCAAAUGGAGAGCAUGAAUCAUACCUGUAUGCACGGUGCAGCAGAAAAGGCGAGAAACUGAAAUCUCUCCACGAUGCAGACACAAGUACAGGUAUGUUUAUGUGCAUGUUCUGGGGUGGUGGUGGGAGGCCCAAGGAAAAGAUCUCACCAACUUUAUCCAUCGAACACACACAUGCACACAUGCCCGCACACACACACCACCCCAACCAAUUAGAAACUGGA